rnacentral:lncRNA from 1 species
GGGAAAGCAAGAGUUGAAUUGCUAGCCAUGAGGAAAACGUAAGCCUGAGCUGUUUGCUGGCCAUCUUUGCUUCCACAUGGGGAUGGCCUGCCUGGAAAUGAAGCCACACAGAGAAAACAGAAGAGCAGUGAAGAGAAGGGUAAAAGGAGAGAUCCCAUGACAUGAUUUGCACUCUUAGAUCCAGUUAUGCCUGAUGCAGGACCCACCCCUUGGACUUCCCAUUUCCAGGAGCUAAAACUAGACUGAGUUGAGUUUCUGUCACUGACAGUUGACAGAAAAUAUCAACAAUCCAGCCACAUGGAGCCUCAUGGCAGUACCACUAACCCUGGUCACCACAUGAAUACUGACCAGAGGCAUUUCACCUGAAUCAACUGUUUGUGUUCUUAACUCCAUCUCCUCAUCUGCUUCCUGGAAGACCCAACUGACAUAGAUGGUUACAAGAAAUGAUUUCCUCCUUAUAAAACUCUAGAUGUCAAUGUGAUCUUUCACAAGCACACUGAAAAAUUCACACCGUGGAAAAGAACUAAAGUCCCAUCCUAAUUCAUCAGAGCCUUCUGUUUCCUGUAACAAAGAAGAACUCACAAGAUCAGGAUUCCAAGCUUCUUGUAUAGAAGAUACCUAAAAAGUGUUUGCUGAAUGAAGAAAUAAAGGAUUGCUCAGGCACCACUGGCACUUUAAGUUGUUCAGCAAGUACUCGUGCCUCUUAAGAACUGGCCAAGGGCCGGGCGUGGUGGUUCAUGCCUGUAAUCCCAGCAUUUUGGGACGCCGAGGCGGGCAGAUCACGAAGUCAGGAGUUCGAGACCAGCGUGGCCAACGUGGUGAAACCCCAUCUCUACUAAAAAUACAAAAACUUAGCCGGGUGUGGUGGCCUGCGCCUGUAGUCCCAGCUACUCGGGAGGCUGAGGCACAAGAAUUGCUUGAACCCACGAGGAGGAGCUUGCAGUAAGCCGAGAUCGCGCCAUUGCACUCCAGCCUGGGCAACAGGGCAAGACUCUGUCCUGAAAGAAAAAAAAAAAAAAAAAAAAAAAGAACUGGCCGAGGUCUUAGCUGGAGCACUCUCUCUACCCUGCAUGUUUGACUGCAUUUCUGUCCAUUUUCAAUCCGUUUUGGUUAUACGUUUUUUCACACAGGUCUGUUGAACUUAGAACACCGAAGGCCUGUGUAUUUUCAUGGCUCACAGCUCAUGUUGUGUUGACCUGCCCCACUGUGGUUAAUGUUUAGCCCCUAAACCACCAGCUGAAUGUCCUUAAAUCUGAAAGAAUAAUGAACACACGCCAACAGAUAGCUUAGGUUUAUUUGGUGACUUGCGCCACAUACUUUGCGAAUAUCAUCUCAGUCAUCCUUUUAGCAUCUCUCUCAGGCACAUACUCUCCUCUGUGGUGGCUCAUGCCGGUAAUCCCAGCCCUUUGGGAGGCCGAGGCGGGCAGAUCACUUGAGGCAAGGAGUUCGAGACCAGCCUGGCCAACACGGUGAAACCCCAUCUCUACUAAAAAUACAAAAAUUAGCCGGCUAUGGUGGCAUGCGCCUGUAAUCCCAGCUGCUCGAGAGGCUGAGGCAGGAGAAUCAUUUGAACCCAGGAGGCAGAGGUUGCAGUGAGCCUAGACUGCACCAUUGCACUUCAGCCUGGGUGAGACCCCAUCUCAAAUCAAUCAAUCAAUCAAUCAAUCAAUCAAUCAAUAAGGGAAAAGCUAUCACACAGCAGAAUACAGUCCAAGGGUAACUACUGAAGGGCCAGAUCAAGGAGCAAAGUCUAUCAUGUAUCAACCUUUACAGUGUCCCCAAGGGUCAGCUGUGUAUAGGGGCCCACACAGAAUUUGGAAUCCAAAUACAUCUCUGGAUCCCCAGGCCUGUGUUUGACUCGCCAGGUAGUAAUGAGAUGUCUCCAUUUUCUGCAGGCUGAAUGAUUCCCUCAGAGCAGAAGUAUAAGCAUAUUUAUUGUUUUUCCUUCUAUCAUAAACAGUUAUUAGUUGUGGCCCUUUCUCCCUUCCAAAUAGGUGCCCAAAUUUCUGGAAGUGGAAAGGGCCCAACUUUCCCAUAUCAGGGGGUGGGCCCCACUGGGCGUGAGCCAAUCAGUGUCUUCUGUCCUGUGAGCUCCCGAUUUAUGCUGGUCUAUAACCUGAGAUGGCCUUCUCAGGAUGGACCUCCAGGGAUUGCUGGAACUUGGACUCUUGUCAGCCUGGUAAAUGGUAUGUCUUAGAUCUGCUGCAGCCGUCGUGGAAAACUUGAAGCUGCCAGGAGAGAGGGGUUCCAACAUGUGGUGGCUAAAGAAUGAAUCCAACUCAAAGGAAGCAGAGCCAAGAAAUGGAUCCAUGCUGUUUGAAUCUUGGAUCAAAUUGUGCCUGGAUCUCCAGUGAGACAAUAAAUUCCUGUAUUACUCAAGCCUAU